rnacentral:misc_RNA from 1 species
UCGAACGAAACUUCUGGCCGGACGCUUUUUGUGCUGGCCCUUCGGGGCAACGUGCACGCCUCUGGUCCUUUGUUUCUUCUGUUCCACCUGUGCACUCCCUGUAGACGCUCUGUGUCUAUGACAACGAUUACACGCUCUUUUGCAUAUUGGUUGGCAUGUCGCAUAUGUAUGGAAAUAUA